rnacentral:rRNA from 1 species
AACGAACGCUGGCGGCAGGCUUAACACAUGCAAGUCGAACGCAUCGCAAGAUGAGUGGCAGACGGGUGAGUAACGCGUGGGUACAUACCCUUUUCUACGGAAUAGCUCUGGGAAACUGGAAUUAAUACCGUAUACGCCCUACGGGGGAAAGAUUUAUCGGGGAAGGAUUGGCCCGCGUUGGAUUAGCUAGUUGGUGGGGUAAAGGCCUACCAAGGCGACGAUCCAUAGCUGGGCUGCGAGGAUGAUCAGCCACAUUGGGACUGAGACACGGCCCAAACUCCAACGGGAGGCAGCAGUGGGGAAUAUUGGACGAUGGGCGCAAGCCUGGUCCAGCCAUGCCGCGUGAGUGAUGAAGGCCUUAGGGUUGUAAAGCUCUUUCACCGAUGAAGAUAAUGACGGUAGUCGGAGAAGAAGCCCCGGCUAACUUCGUGCCAGCCGCCGCCGUAAGAC